GUUUGGCUGGCGAGGGGUUUGGGCACGCUACUCGGCCCCCUGACCCGCUCCUCACUGGCAUUGCUGCUACUCGCAAUAGCUGCGAGUGCUCACACCCUCACUGUGUCCUACACCAUGCUUGGUGACUGAAGAAAUGAAUGCAAAGUGAUCGUAAAAUCAAAUAUAACGAAGGCUAAGAACGUGCAUAUUAGAAAAAUAAGUGUUACGUAAAGGUCAAUGCCCUCGAUGUGGCGAGUAUCAGCCGAGUCGAGUGGAAAGGUGCUGAUCAGCAGCUAUAUAUAUCUCACUCAUCAAUUAACCAGCUUGUACAGAUUGCUGGAGGAGCAUCUUUUGUUUCUCCACGCCGACUGGUAUCUCACAAUGUGAGUGAGAUGGUGGUGCAGGCUGCAAGUGAAGGUGAGUUG